CCUACGGGAGGCAGCAGUGGGGAAUAUUGCACAAUGGGCGAAAGCCUGAUGCAGCGACGCCGCGUGAAAGAUGACGGCCUUCGGGUUGUAAACCUCUUUCAGUAGGGAAGAAGCGAAAGUGACGGUACCUGCAGAAGAAGCGCCGGCUAACUACGUGCCAGCAGCCGCGGUAAUACGUAGGGCGCAAGCGUUAUCCGGAAUUAUUGGGCGUAAAGAGCUCGUAGGCGGUCCGUCGCGUCUGCCGUGAAAGUCCGGGGCUCAACUCCUUAUCUGCGGUGGGUACGGGCAGACUAGAGUGAUGUAGGGGAGACUGGAAUUCCUGGUGUAGCGGUGAAAUGCGCAGAUAUCAGGAGGGGCACCGAUGGCGAAGGCAGGUCUCUGGGCAUUAACUGACGCUGAGGAGCGAAAGCAUGGGGAGCGAACAGGAUUAGAUACCCUGGUAGUCCAUGCCGUAAACGUUGGGCACUAGGUGUGGGGGACAUUCCACGUUUUCCGCGCCGUAGCUAACGCAUUAAGUGCCCCGCCUGGGGAGUACGGCCGCAAGGCUAAAACUCAAAGGAGGAGGG
rnacentral:rRNA from 1 species